UAAUACGGAGGGUGCAAGCGUUAAUCGGAAUUACUUGGCGUAAAGCGCACGCAGGCGGUUUGUUAAGUCAGAUGUGAAAUCCCCGAGCUUAACUUGGGAACUGCAUUUGAAACUGGCAAGCUAGAGUCUUGUAGAGGGGGGUAGAAUUCCAGGUGUAGCGGUGAAAUGCGUAGAGAUCUGGAGGAAUACCGGUGGCGAAGGCGGCCCCCUGGACAAAGACUGACGCUCAGGUGCGAAAGCGUGGGGAGCAAACAGGAUUAGAUACCCUGGUAGUCCACGCUGUAAACGAUGUCGACUUGGAGGUUGUGCCCUUGAGGCGUGGCUUCCGGAGCUAACGCGUUAAGUCGACCGCCUGGGGAGUACGGCCGCAAGGUUAAA
rnacentral:rRNA from 1 species